CCUACGGGUGGCUGCAGUGGGGGAUAUUGCACAAUGGGGGGAACCCUGAUGCAGCGACGCCGCGUGGGUGAAGGAAGAAGGCUUUCGGGUUGUAAACUUCUUUUCUCAGGGACGAAGAAAGUGACGGUACCUGAGGAAUAAGCCACGGCUAACUACGUGCCAGCAGCCGCGGUAAUACGUAGGUGGCAAGCGUUAUCCGGCUUUACUGGGUGUAAAGGGCGGGUAGGCGGGGAAGCAAGUUAGAUGGGAAAACCACGGGCUCAACCUGUGGCCUGCAUUUGAAACUGUUUUUCUUGAGUACUGGAGAGGCAGACGGAAGUCGUGGUGUAGCGGUGAAAUGCGUAGAUAUUAGGAGGAACACCAGUGGCGAAGGCGGUCUGCGGGACAGCAACUGACGCUGAGGCGCGAAAGCGUGGGGAGCAAACAGGAUUAGAUACCCUGGUAGUC
rnacentral:rRNA from 1 species